CUGCUCACUUUGGCAGCACACAUACUAAAAUUGCAACGAUACAGAGAAGCUGAGCAUGGUCCAUGCACUAGGAUGACACAGAAAUUUGUGAAGCGUUCCAUUCUUUU